CAAACAAACGAGGAAGUAAUGGCGUCUCGUGUCGUUUCGCUUUCCGAUAUUCCUGACAAAUUAUCAUAAAUGUGAAAUUACAAUGCGAAAAAAAUAGAAGUCAAAGGAAUUUGUAACUGGCUGCUACAUCGGAAGGCUCGAUAUAUCUUUAGAAAAUGACGAUAUCUAACAUUUACGGGGUGAAAUCUAUCCAAGUCAGAGAAAAUCGGAUAGCCGCCAUGUUGUCAAUAUUGACAUCGAUACAAAGGAAAAGCGUGUGGGUGACGCAUACUGUUAAUGCAAACAAGGAAAUUGUGGAACAUGUUCACACACUCUGGCUGUAAAAGUAGACCUGGGAGGAAAAGUGCCCCCGGUGUGGGGCUCGAACUCACAACCACCAGAACCGCCCGGCAUUCUAACCAACUAAGCUGACCGGGCAGCUAGUUCUAACCCACACACACUACCCUCCCCCCAUUUACCGGUUAAGGCUGGUGGAGGGUCUCCUGCUAUUUACCGUUGACACCAUUAAAGUAUUCUGAUUGAUGGAGAUAAGGAAGUCCCCUAAUUAUUGUCUUCAACAAGCCUACCGCCACAGGGGACCUAGCAUAAGACCGGAAACCGCCCCCCCCCACACACACACAUGAUAUUUGCCAGUCCAGGCAAUGUCAACCGCAAGAGAAAACCAGUGAUGACAAGUUUUACAAAUAAUCGGAAAGUGUGGUCUUUUGAAGAGAGUUCUUGAAGUUGUUCAGCAUGUUGUUUUGAUGGAUUCUUGGAAGGAUGUACCUCUAUGAUGUUAGCUUCAGUUCUGGAGUAUAACACCAGUUGUUGCAUAUUUAAUAUCAGAUUUAUUAAAUACAUUGUUGUUUUGCAAACAUUACUUAAACUUUGAUAUUUCUUUGGUGUUUAUGUAUGAUAUUGUAGGUGAAUAUCUCUUUAUUGCAAUGGCAAAUAUAUUUUAAAAUAUA